UCUAGGGAGAAAGUGGGGAGGGAAAGGGACGGAGGUCAACAGGAGUUUUGGAGAACAAGUGUUGUAGGCUGUAGGGGGUAAAGCCAAUUUGUGAAGAACUGGUGAUAGGAACUAAACAACCCACCUAGAAGGGGAGGGGCUUUGAGCAGGGGUGGGGAGGUGGGAUUUGAGGCAAAACAGCUAGGAGUUCUGAAACUAUUAAUAUCUAACUGUGUGACUCAGGGCAAGUUGCUUAACUUUUCUCUCUGCCUUAGUUUCUUGACCUGUAAAACAGGGAUACUAAUAAUAGAACUUAUCUCAGGGGGUUAUUUGGAAUUAGAGGAAAUACAUGCCAUGUGUUUUCCACAGUGCUUGGCACAUAGAACCUGCCAGUAAAUGUUAGCUCUUUUUAUGGCAGAGUGGUUAACAGGAUGGAUUCUGGAGCUAGACGGCCUCGUUUUGAAUCUCGGUCAUGCCUUAUGUGAGUUGUAUGACCUAGGCAAGUUACUUAACCCCUUGUGCUUUAGUUUCCUUGUCUGUAAAACAUGGUUAAUAGUACCUAGCUCAAAGGCUGCUGUCAGGAUUAAAUGAGUUAUAUGUACGAAGAGCCUGGAACAAUGCCCAUCCCAUAGGAAACACUAUGUAAGCAUUAGUUGUCACUGAUAUUGUUGCUCUUCUGAUCUAGGAAGGUUGAAAAUAGAGGCACAGGUGAGCUACUACUUACAGGCUAAGAUUGGAAUCAGAUCAACUCUUUCACUCCUAUCCCUGAAGCUAGUCCUGCAACUGGGGCUGCAUAUGAGGGCUUGGGGAGAGAUCCUAUAACCCUGGAAUCUGGGAUAUCCAAGUCCUUCCUCUGCUCUAGCUCUUGGUUUGGUGGUCCCUCCAAGACCCAUAGACUCGAAGUCACUUCUUUUUCCCUGGGCAGGGUUGGGGUGGGGCUGGUAAUGGGAGAAUUACUUUCUUGGUCUAAUAACUCCCUUUAGUAGAGAGUUAGUCCUGGGAGUGUGAGUUGGGGGAGGUUGGGUAGAGCAGAGGAGAUUAAAUAUCCUUCAUGUACCAGCCCACACACACUUGACCUCACCAGAGGGUUGGGAAGACAGAGAUUCAAAGAGGGGAAGUGAUCUGACAAAGUCCUAAAGCUAGAACUUGGCAGAGUUGGCAUCUGAACUCUGAUCUGCUUGAUGGCAAACUUAAAGCCCUUCCAUUGCUGCAUGCUUUUUGAAGGGAGAAAUGGGACACGUGUAAACUUGGGCCAGGACCAUGGGGUAGAUGGAAGAUUGGCGAAGAUAGAGUAUUGGAGUGGGAAGUGGCCAAGCAGGAAUAUUUCAAUCAUGGAAGAUUUCCUGAGGAAAGAGAUUCCAUAUCAGGGUUCAGAUGGUAGGGGAAUAGGAUAGGAAGUAAAGAAGAGGGAGGGAGCCAUGCAUUGACAAGGAAGGAGAAGAAAAAAGAAUUUAUGCAAAGGCUGGGUCAGAGUAAUGGACAUGAAUUCAAUUUGCCUUGGGUUUGCCUUACCAUUUAUUGAAGGCAUACUAUGUACUGGGUACAUACAUGAUCACAUUUGAUGUUCACAACAGCCCUGACAAGUGAGUUUCUUAUCCCUAUUUCCAAAAGAGUUCAUUGAAGUUCUGAGAGCUUAAUCCCCGCUUUAGGUUACACAGUAGUAGUUGGAUUUCCUGGCAUCAGAACCCUCGCCUACACUGCCUCUGAGCAUGGCUUCUGUGUCCCAGUCUCAAUUUCCAUGACUGUUUCAAGUCCUCCUGUUCCCCCGCAUUUGUUGUCACUCUUGGUGACUGGGAACAAAGGGCUAGAGCGUGAGCUGAAACUGAGACAGGGAGUGGCAAGCAGGCAGUGGGGACAGAAACUUUUCUCGCAUCCACCCAUGUGAAGAAGAUGGACAGAAGGGUGGUCUUUCUGGAGAGAGGCUUCCAAGCCACUUUCCCAAGAAAGACAGCUGAUCUUGGGAUGAAUGGCAGGGACCUGAUUGGGUAGGGGAUGGGUGGUCACAUUGUUUUUUGGGCUGUAGACUUUAUUUCCCUUCCUUUGGGAAGAGAAGAGGAAGAGGACAGCUCAGGUGUGGGUUUGAGCCCUGGAUUAAGACUGCCCAUUGUCCACUAAAAUCUCUUCUUUCCUUGCUGCAUGAGGGUGGAGGGACACCCAGCUGAACACUCCAUUUCCCAGCUGCUCUUAUUGCCAGGUGUAGACACAGGGGAAUGUGAGGUGAGCAUGUCCUCAAAGCCUGACGGAUUGGGUAAAUUCUCCUUUGUGUUCUCUCUUUCAUGAGCUGGGCAGAUGUGCCUGAGACAGGUUUGACCAGGCAACUGAAAAGACAUCCCUAAGAGAAGACAAAGCAAAGGUAUGAAAGGAACACACAUCCCUGACUGACUAGGAGGAACAGAGCUGCCUGCUGUCCGGAACCGCUUCCUCCCAGACUAAGGUUUCCCAGAGGAAGAGAGAGAAUUUGGACAAAUGAAUGAGGAACAACGCUCUCCUGAGAGUUUCUUUAAGGGGCGAGGAUCACUGCCGCUAGCUCCUUUGAAAGCAGAAUUAAGAGGCAGUGCAGGAAGGCACAGCAGGAAGGCUCAUAGUUAGACUACAGAGAAGGAAGCAGCCACUGCUGGGGACCUACCCUGUGCUGGUCACUGACAAGCAGUCUCACUAAACCUUCCUGGACCCUCAACCCCUCCUAGUAUCUUAUCCUCAUUUUACAGAUGAGAAGACUGUGGCCCAGAGAGGUAAAGAUCUGGGGAGCAGGAUGGGAGCUUCACUUUGUCUCAGUUGCUCUGGCAAAGAAAAGCCUCACCUUGUGAUCAAGGGAUUGGGAGGGUGACAGAUAAAUUUUGGCUUAAGUGUCACCAUAGCACUGGGAAUCGAGCUAGAUGGCACUGGCUUGACUCCUUGGAUCUGCCUCUUACUGGCUGUGUGAUACUGGGCAUGCCUCUGUUUCCCCAUCUAUAAAAAUGGGGCUAAUGAUAAUAACACCUGCCUUACAGGUUGUGUAGAAGGUUGAAUUUGUAGUUGUGAGGUGCCCAGGAACAGUGCUGGCACACAGUGAGCGCCAUACACAAGUGUUACAGAAUGGAGCCUCCUGCCCUCUCCUUAUUUCCCACUCCCUGCCCUCUUCUCAUUGCCCACCUCCCCUGCCUUCUCCUCACCAUCCUGAAAAAGGGUGAACAGCCACCCAGGAGCCCCUGAACAGGCAUGUUGGUCCCAGGCCAUUUGUGAGCAUGCUUUUCCCUGCCCUGCCCCCUGUCAUCACCAUUCUGGAUGGAGCAGCAAGGACGGAGACACUUAGUUGGGCUAUCCACUCCAGGUCCAAUGCCAGUGGGAUCAGCUUCGAUGGGAUGCACACAGACUGACCUCUUCUCCCCAGCCCCUUCAACUUCCUAGAGCUGCAGGGGGCCUGGGAGUUCUUGGUAACAGCACAUUAAACCUCUGUUUGUGGGAACUUUAAUUUAAACACAAAUUAGAGAUGGCAAAUGACUCUGGCAGCCAGAUAAGCCAUCCCGGGAGAGCAAGGAGAAAGCCAAGAGAAUCAGCCCAGAUAAGGCCUGACUUUAAACUACUGGUGAUACCCAGAAGCCUGGGACAGAUGAAAUCUAGGGGUCCUCAAUGAAGAGCCACAGAAGCUCCACACCCCAGUUGUCCUUGCUCUGGGCUCUAUGCCAGCUCCCUCUCCUGUGUUCUCUAUAUUUCUAUCUGUUUGCAAAAUUCUAACCUGAUUCUUUGGCUCCAUCCCUCCCACCCCCACCCCACUGUUUUAGAGAAUGCACUUUCUUUACUUUGCUUCUCAUCUUCUUCUGUGACCUACUAUUCUGAGAAAUUUCUCCUUGUUAUCUAACCUCCAUCUAUGCUACUACCUUUAGAGUCUAAUACAUCCUGCUUAGUGGUAGCUCUGGGAGUUUCUGUUCAUGUGGCAAAUGCGGUGUGGUAAAAACAACCUGAAAAAGACCUGGGUGAACUUCUCUGCAUCUCAGUUUCCUCAUCUGUAUGAUGAGUGUGUGAGAAAGAAUCUCUAAGGACUUGUAAACUCUGACUUCUCACAGAGAAUCUGAGGACAAGGACAUCCCAGGAAAUCUCUAUUGUUCUGGAACCCAUGAAUUUUCCACUGUUCUACUGUUUGGGAGUGAGCGUGGGGAGAGCAGUCAAGCCUGUUGAUUCCUUUCUGUGAGGGGUCUACAGGCUUUGCUUCCACCCCUCCGCCCACAACCCAGGCUUAGGCCAGGCCCAGGCCCAGGAGAGAGGCUGCCUUUCCAGUUCUGUCAAGGCCUGCUGAGCCCAGCUCUGUGGGGCUGUGGCCGCUAAGAUGUUGUCUCUGUCCUCUGGGGUAGGAGCAACAUAUGUUCCCUCUGUCACAGCACCUGUGAGGGUGGCAGAGGGAUGGCAACCCCCAAGAGGGCAGAGUUCCAUCUCUCCAACUGACCUUGAAGCAUCUUUUUAUCCUGCUUUUCUGGGAGGCUUAAAGUGAAGGCGGAGGGAGAUAUCGCACAGUCCCAAAGCCCCCACUAAAUGGGGAGCUACUGUCUUUCAUCUUUCAUGCAGGGUAAAAGAAGACACCUCGGCUACAGCAAGAGGAAAGAAGGUCAAACCACAGGCAGAACUUUCAGGUUGAAUGUUAGAGCAGACUGUGAUCCCAAGAGGUCAUCCAAGACCCUUGGUCUCAGAGGAUGACUAUGAGGCCCUGGUCCCUGGCUGGGGUGGGAACAAUAAUCCCAACAGCCCCAUGCUAGACUGACUUGGGAGUCAGAAGGUCCCUGGGACUAGAAUAGAAGGACUUUGGCAUUUUCCCUGGCCUAGGGCCCUUAGACAGAAGUGGGCAACUGCCAUCAGGAGCCUGGGGCCCAGCUGUGUCCCCACCUUGUCCGCCUCCCCCCUCCUGAGUGCCUGGCUGCCCCUGGAGCCACAGGCUUGCCUGCCAUCUGGGCAGCUCAGAGGAAAGCACACUGCCAAGGGAGUGCCAGCGUUGAUUUAUGGCCCACAACCUUGGCAGGCUCAGGCUGUGUGCCCGAACUGCCUUUGCUCAGGGAAGAGAUGCUCCUCUUAAAGGGACAGUGCAGAGGAAUGCAGGAAUGUCCAGGACGAAAGCUUGGCAGGGGGCUGGCAAAAAAGACCUCCACCCAUCAGCACUCUGGGUGACUGUCACUCCCUAGGGAAACUUCUCCCUAAGGAACCACCCAUCAUACCUGUUAUCAUGCCCUAUCCUUUGUAGACUUGGCCCAACUGUAACAUAUUAAUAUGUUCACUAUCAGUCUUUCCCACUGGACUGUAAUCUCUAGGAGGGUAGGAACCAGACCCAUUGUGCUCAUUCCUGAAUAUUCAGCACCAAACACAGUGCCUGGCGCCUAAUAAGAUCUCAGUAAGAAUUUGUCAAGUGUAGGACAGAAUGAAUAAAUGAAGGUCCUUGUCCAUGAGGUGGAGGGAAGCCCGCGUGUCUUCUUAGUGCCUGCCGUGGUUUCCGAGACCCUGCGGCAUCUGCUGCUACCCCCAGGAUCUCUCCCUCCAGGACCCUUCCUCACCCCUGUCAUAUCAACCCAGGACCAAUGGGGCCAAUCUUAUCUGGAUACCCUUGCCUCCCCACUUUCCUCGAGUCACCUUUCUUAAGUCCUUCACACAAUGUUCUUUUCCUCCCAUUUUCCUUCCUCCAAGAUACUUUCUCAGAUUACCUGUGGCCUCAGUCCUGGAUUCAGAUACUCUUUCAGAUAAUCUUUUAUUUUUUAUUUUUAUUUUUAUUUUUUUUUUCUCGAGACAGUGGCUCCCUCUGUCACCCAGGUGGGAGUGCAGUGGCAGUCUUGGAUCACUGCCACCUGUGUCUCCCAGGUUCAAGUGAUUCUCCUGCCUCAGCCUCCAGAGUAGCUGGGAUUACAGGCUUGUGCCACCAUGCCCAGCUAAUUUUUGUAUUUUUAGUAGAGAUGAGGUUUCACCACGUUGGCCAGGCUGGUCUCGAACUCCUGACCUCAAAUGAUCUGCCCGCCUCAGCCUCCCAAAGUGCUGUGAUUACAUGCAUGAGCCACUGUGACUGGCCUAUCCAGCAAUAUUUACUGAGUAUCUACAAUGCACUAGGCACCGGUUGCCAAGAAUUCAUGAAUAAAUGGAACAGGCAUAUUCCCUGAACUCAAGGACCGUACAUUUCAGAGAGUGAAACAGACAAAAAAAUAAGUAAGCAAGUUAGCAAAUAGAUACAUGCAAUUUUGAGACCUGUUGUGAAGUGGGUAAUCACAGUCAGGGUGGAGCAGGCACCCUUUAAAUUGGGUGGUCAGGUAGGCAUGGUGGCUCACGCCUGUAAUCCCAGCACUUUGGAAGGCUGGGGUGGGCGGAUCACCUGAAGUCAGGAGUUCGAGACCAGCCUCACCAACAUGGAGAAACCCUGUCUCUACUAAAAAUACAAAAAUUAGUCAGACGUGGUGGCGCAUGCCUAUAAUCCCAGCUACUUGGGAGGCUGAGGCAGGAGAAUCGCUUGAACCCGGGAGGUGGAGAUUGCCAUGAGCCGAGAUCGUGCCAUUGCACUCCAGCCUGGGCAAUAAGAGCAAAACUCCAUCUCAAAAAAAUAAAAUAAAAUAAAAUAAAAUAAAUUGGGUGGUCAGAGAAAGUUUCUCUGAGGAAGUGACACUUGGGCUGAGGUUUGAAGAAUGAGAGGGAGCCAUGUAAAGAGUGAGGUAACAGCAUUCUAGAAACAGUUCAGUCACAUGGGUGUGCACAGCAGCAUUUGGGGGAUGGGAGUGGGAGAGGAGCUUUCCCAAACUUCACACUCCUAUCUCUUUUACAUUUUGAAAGCCCCUGCCCUUCCAAUGUGGGAGGACCAUUGCUUAAAAUCUUUGGAGAAGCAGCCCUGGCCUUACCUGGAAGCUGGUUAGAAAACAGAGCUCAGGUGCCACACCAGAUCUACUGAGUCCGAAUCUGUAUUUUAACCAGGUCCCAGGUCAUUUGUGUGCACAGUGGUGUUUGAGAAGCAGUGUUUCAGGAAAUACCUCACAGGAGGGAUGGAGUGUGAGGACAUCAGAUAAUGUGAGGUGGGUGGGGUUAGGGGGUUGGUUGCUGAAGAGUGGAUUUGAAUCAGAGAUGGGGGUCUGAGUGUGUAUAUGUGCCUCUGUGUGUGUGUUCCUCCAGCCUAAUGACUGUGGGCUAUCUGAGGAUGUGCAACUCCAAGCGCUUUUCCUUCCAUGGGUGUGGAGUACCAGGGGAUACUGUACAUCUUUAUCCCCCUGUGACAAUGCCCCCACUUCCACCUACAGCUGUGAGUCAAACAGAAUCUGCCAACCUCUGGGUGGUGGGAGCAUCUCGGAAGCAAGGCAAGGCAAGGAGAUCCCUUGUUCCUGACCUCCGGCAAUCCAUUUAUUUGACUCCAGUCUCAUAAAGGCAUCCUGAUGAGCCCAAUCGCUUGCUAAUGGUUAUGAGCCGAGACCUGGGGAUUUAUGGCUGAGGCCUCCGUGGCCACGAACAGGAGUAGGGCUGCACACAGGAGGCCAGGCUGUGCAUGGCUUCAGUUCAUGGAGGCCUGUACCCAGAACCACGGCGGGGACUACCACACCCCCACCUCCAAAUCUGGGGCAAAGAACAUUGCCCUGGGUGGGGGAAGCUGGGCUAAGGAGAAAAAAGACCUCUGGCUGGAGAUGUCCAGGGAUGAAGGGUGAGUGUCUGGGAAACUGGCCUGACUUGGCGGGGUGGGGUAUAGGGGGAGAUACUGGAGAAGUGAGUGGAAAGGGCACUGGAAUUGGAGCCAGUCAAACUGGGGUUCAAAUCCUGGAUCUGUUUUCCACCCGUGUAUGACACUGGAAAAAUCAUGGCUCUCCCUGAGCCUCAUUUUUCUCAUCUGUAGAUGGGAAUUGUGACCCUAUCUCAUAGGUUUGUGAGAAUUAAAUGAGGCCAGGUACGGUGGCUCAUGCCUGUAAUCUCAGCACUCUGGGAGGCCAAGGUAGGAGGAUUUCUGGAGCCCAGGAGUUCAAGACCAGCCUGGGCGACAUGCUGAAACCCUGUCUCUACAAAAAUACAGAAAUUAGCCAGGUGUGGUGGCAUGUGCCUGAGGCUGAUGUGGGAGCAUUGCUUGAGCCCAGGAGCUUGAGACUGCAGUGGGCCAUGAUCAUGUCACUGCACUCCAGCCUGGGUGACAGAGUGAGAUCCUAUUGAGAGAGAGAGAAUUAAAUGAGAUAAUGUUUGUGAAAAGCACUUCGAAUACCAAUUGUAUAUAUUUAAGUGGGUCAAGAGAUUGGGAUUCUAAUUCCAGCUCCACCACUAACUUGCUGGGAUUCUAGCACUAGCACUGGUUUUGUUACCAAUGGCUUUUUUUUUUCCUGAGACAGGGUCGCACUCUGUUGCCCAGACUGGAGUGCAGUGGUAAGAUCUCAGCUCACUGCAACCUCUGCCUCCCAGGCUCAAGCAAUUCCCAUGCCUCAGCCUCCUGAGUAGCUGGGAUUACAGGUGUGCUCCACUACUGCCCACUAAUUUUUGUAUUUUUAGUAGAGACAGGGUUUUGCCAUGUUGGCCAGGCUGGUCUCGAACUCCUGACCUCAAAUGGUCCACCCGCCUUGGCCUCUCAAAGUGCUAGGAUUUCAAGCAUGAGCCACCCCGCCUGCCCAGUUACCAAUGGCUUUGUGACCUGGGGCACAUCACAGACCCUUUCUAAGUCUUAGUUGCCUCAUAGAUACUAAGAGGGGACACAGUGCUCUUUUGGUUGCCUCCAGCUCUGAUAUUUUGUGGUUCUAAGGAGGAGUCCUUGUUUGGAAAUGGAACUUUGGAAUGGUUUGGAUCUCAUUAUGGCCAUAGAGAGGGCAUCAUUGCAACUGUGGCUUCAGGGCCAAUGUGCAGUUAGGGGGGCUGAGUCAGAACAGCCCCCUCUUCCUUGAUAGUGCCAUCCUGUGAGUAUAACCCCUGUAGGGGUGUUGGACACAGUGUUGGGGAAGACUGUGGAAUAUGUGUAAGUAGGAAAGGCCCUGUGGUAGGGGGUGAGCUGGGUAUCCAUGGAAAUGCCUGAACUACUCAUGCCUUUUGCACAAGUAGGUCUUCAAAUAAUCUCUUGUGCUUCUCUCUUUCCCACUCUCUUUCCCUGUCUAAGGUGUGUGGUGGUUGUGGUGGUGGUGUGUGUGUGUGUGUGCGUGUGUGUGUAUCUAACCUGAUUGGGAGAGUAAGCCAAAUGGAGUGAAGUGGAGAAACAUCCCCAAAAGUCCCAAGUGGAGACCUAAGGAUUCCUAAAUCACAGUGCAGAACAGGGUCCUCUACCCUUUUCCCAUUCUGGGAACAUCCUGAAGCCAGUCAUUGUGGGAGAGAGACAUGACCCCCAACCCAGCCUCACAGACCCCACCCCUCUUCCAUGCUUUGCCCUACCCUCCUUCCGUGUGCUUGUAUCCUAACCUUAAGCCCUAGAGACUUCUAGGUACCCAGAGAGCAGCCUAUCCAGUGAUGUUUACUGAGCGCAUGUUAUGUGCCUUGCACUGGGCCUGGAGCAAGGGCUAAGGAGUGAAAUUAGACCUGAUCCCUCUCCUGAAGAUGUCACAGCUGAGUAGGCAGAAAGACUUUAAACAGAUAAUGGCAACAGGAUGUGCUAAGGAACAUCAAUGUACAAGAUAACAGGUAGUCUGUAUUUAUGGGAGAGGGAGGCGUAAAAGAAGAUGCUUCAGCUGCUUUCUAAACAUGUUUGUCGUGGAACAUUAAAAACAUAUGAAAACAGA